rnacentral:lncRNA from 1 species
UGGCACCUUUAUAAUAGGCUUUAGAUUUGAUUCUCCAAUUAAAUCUGAUUCUAUAUUUCUACUCAAAGGUAUCUAUUUUUGUUCCUUAUGAAUUUCAUCAAGUUCAAUCUUAGUGGCAUCAGUUCUUUCUCUAAGAAACUCUCUUUUCAAAAAGACUGUCCUAUUGCUGACAAACACCUUUUGUUCUUCAGCGAGAUAAAAAUAGUAUCCUUUUAUUUUCUUUGGGCACC